AUACGAAGGGUGCAAGCGUUAAUCGGAAUUACUGGGCGUAAAGCGCGCGUAGGUGGUUCAGCAAGUUGGAUGUGAAAGCCCCGGGCUCAACCUGGGAACUGCAUCCAAAACUACUGAGCUAGAGUACGGUAGAGGGUGGUGGAAUUUCCUGUGUAGCGGUGAAAUGCGUAGAUAUAGGAAGGAACACCAGUGGCGAAGGCGACCACCUGGACUGAUAGGGACACUGAGGUUCGAAAGAGUGGGUAGCAAACAGGAUUAGAUACCCAGGUAGUCCACGCCGUAAACGAUGUCAACUAGUUGUUGGGUUCCUUGAGAACUUAGUAACGAAGCUAACGCGAUAAGUUGACCGCCUGGGGAGUACGGCCGCAAGGUUAAAACUCAAAUGAAUUGACGGGG
rnacentral:rRNA from 1 species